rnacentral:lncRNA from 13 species
AACCCGAUCCAGCAGCGACCACUGUUGCUUGCAAUACUUUCCUUGAGAUUGUUCUGGAAGCAUAAUGGGUCCUUUGCUUACAGUUCCAGCAGCGCUCCUUCCAACCAAUACCCCGUCAAAGAGUGGGAGAAACUUCCUAAACGCCUGUCCUGCACGACUCCCUCAGCCUCAGACUCCCUGCUCUGGCGCCUGUUCUAUUCUUCCUUGUAUAAGCCAGGUGCAAUUAGGUUACGGAUCUUGAUAAGAGUAAUCCUACACUAUUGUGUGGCCACUGAAUCCAAUGACAAGUUUCCUUACAAGAGACACGCAGAGGAGAAGGGGAGGGAGGCUCCUCUGAGAGGAAGCCGAGGUUGGAGCAACGCAAGCUCAAGGCUCCAGCACAGCAAGAGAGCAGGGAGAAUCAGAACAAAGAAGCAUGGCAAGUCCAGAUGAGAGAAGCCCACUCAAAGUGGGAAAAACAGGGGGCCUGGAUGGGGUCUCUUAACACUGUCGGCCAAUUAAACCAACCACCUGAGUAUCAAAAACAGAGCAGCAUCUAUAAUACAAU